rnacentral:rRNA from 1 species
CACGAACCGUACGAACGUUAUUCGGAAUUACUGGGCUUAAAGGGUUUGUAGGCGGCCUUGUAAGUCAGGUGUGAAAGCCCUCGGCUCAACCGAGGAACAGCGCUUGAUACUGCAAGGCUUGAGGGAGACAGGGGUAAGCGGAACUGAUGGUGGAGCGGUGAAAUGCGUUGAUAUCAUCAGGAACACCGGUGGCGAAAGCGGCUUACUGGGUCUCUUCUGACGCUGAGGAACGAAAGCUAGGGGAGCGAACGGG